UUCGGGGCGCAGCAGGCGCGAAAACUUUGCAAUGCCGGAAACCGUGAUAAGGGAACUUCGAGUGCCCGGUUACUCAUCUGUGCUGUUUGGAUGCCUAAAACGCAUUGCAUAGGACGGGCCGGGACAGACCGGUGCCACCCGCCGCGUUAACACCGGCUCGCUCGAGUGGCAACCUUUAUUAUUGGGUCUAAAGGGUCUGUAGCCGUGCCGGGUAACUCUCUAGAGAAAUCUGGUAACUUAACUGGCAUGCUUUCAAGACAUACUGCACUGGCUCACAGGCCGGAGAUAAGAGAGACGUACUUCAGGGGUAUGGGUGAAAUCUUGUAAUCCUUGACCGACCACCAGUGAAGAAGUGCUCUCUCACACACGAACUCGCACACUGACAGGGAGGGACGAAAGCUAGGGGCACCAACAUGAUUACAUACCCGGGUAGUCCUAUCCGUAAACCAUACUCGCUAUGUGUCUGACACCGAGCCACCGAGGUCCGUGCCAUAAGUAAUCCAUGAAGCCAGCCGCCUGGUAAGUACGGCCGCAUGGCUGAUACUUAAAUGAAUUGGCGAGCGAGCAC
rnacentral:rRNA from 1 species